rnacentral:rRNA from 1 species
GGUUAAGCGACUAAGCGUACACGGUGGAUGCCCUGGCAGUCAGAGGCGAUGAAGGACGUGCUAAUCUGCGAAAAGCGUCGGUAAGGUGAUAUGAACCGUUACAGCCGGCGAUGUCCGAAUGGGGAAACCCAGUGCAAUUCGUUGCACUAUCGUUAACUGAAUACAUAGGUUAACGAGGCGAACCGGGGGAACUGAAACAUCUAAGUACCCCGAGGAAAAGAAAUCAACCGAGAUUCCCCCAGUAGCGGCGAGCGAACGGGGAGCAGCCCAGAGUCUGAAUCAGCUUGUGUGUUAGUGGAACGGUCUGGAAAGUCCGACGGUACAGGGUGAUAGUCCCGUACACCAAAAUGCACAGGUUGUGAACUCGAAGAGUAGGGCGGGACACGUGGUAUCCUGUCUGAAUAUGGGGGGACCAUCCUCCAAGGCUAAAUACUCCUGACUGACCGAUAGUGAACCAGUACCGUGAGGGAAAGGCGAAAAGAACCCCGGCGAGGGGAGUGAAAAAGAACCUGAAACCGUGUACGUACAAGCAGUGGGAGCACCUUCGGGUGUGACUGCGUACCUUUUGUAUAAUGGGUCAGCGACUUAUAUUCUGUAGCAAGGUUAACCGUAUAGGGGAGCCGCAGGGAAACCGAGUCUUAACUGGGCGUUAAGUUGCAGGGUAUAGACCCGAAACCCGGUGAUCUAGCCAUGGGCAGGUUGAAGGUUGGGUAACACUAACUGGAGGACCGAACCGACUAAUGUUGAAAAAUUAGCGGAUGACUUGUGGCUGGGGGUGAAAGGCCAAUCAAACCGGGAGAUAGCUGGUUCUCCCCGAAAGCUAUUUAGGUAGCGCCUCGUGAAUUCAUCUUCGGGGGUAGAGCACUGUUUCGGCUAGGGGGUCAUCCCGACUUACCAACCCGAUGCAAACUACGAAUACCGAAGAAUGUUAUCACGGGAGACACACGGCGGGUGCUAACGUCCGUCGUGAAGAGGGAAACAACCCAGACCGCCAGCUAAGGUCCCAAAGUCAUGGUUAAGUGGGAAACGAUGUGGGAAGGCACAGACAGCCAGGAUGUUGGCUUAGAAGCAGCCAUCAUUUAAAGAAAGCGUAAUAGCUCACUGGUCGAGUCGGCCUGCGCGGAAGAUGUAACGGGGCUAAACCAUGCACCGAAGCUGCGGCAGCGACACUAUGUGUUGUUGGGUAGGGGAGCGUUCUGUAAGCCUGCGAAGGUGGCCUGUGAGGGUUGCUGGAGGUAUCAGAAGUGCGAAUGCUGACAUAAGUAACGAUAAAGCGGGUGAAAAGCCCGCUCGCCGGAAGACCAAGGGUUCCUGUCCAACGUUAAUCGGGGCAGGGUGAGUCGACCCCUAAGGCGAGGCCGAAAGGCGUAGUCGAUGGGAAACAGGUUAAUAUUCCUGUACUUGGUGUUACUGCGAAGGGGGGACGGAGAAGGCUAUGUUAGCCGGGCGACGGUUGUCCCGGUUUAAGCAUGUAGGCGGAGGUUCCAGGUAAAUCCGGUACCUUUUAACGCUGAGGUGUGAUGACGAGGCACUACGGUGCUGAAGUAACAAAUGCCCUGCUUCCAGGAAAAGCCUCUAAGCAUCAGGUAACAUUAAAUCGUACCCCAAACCGACACAGGUGGUCAGGUAGAGAAUACCAAGGCGCUUGAGAGAACUCGGGUGAAGGAACUAGGCAAAAUGGUGCCGUAACUUCGGGAGAAGGCACGCUGGUGUGUAGGUGAAGUCCCUGCGGACGGAGCUGAGACCAGUCGAAGAUACCAGCUGGCUGCAACUGUUUAUUAAAAACACAGCACUGUGCAAACACGAAAGUGGACGUAUACGGUGUGACGCCUGCCCGGUGCCGGAAGGUUAAUUGAUGGGGUUAUCCGUAAGGAGAAGCUCUUGAUCGAAGCCCCGGUAAACGGCGGCCGUAACUAUAACGGUCCUAAGGUAGCGAAAUUCCUUGUCGGGUAAGUUCCGACCUGCACGAAUGGCGUAAUGAUGGCCAGGCUGUCUCCACCCGAGACUCAGUGAAAUUGAACUCGCUGUGAAGAUGCAGUGUACCCGCGGCAAGACGGAAAGACCCCGUGAACCUUUACUAUAGCUUGACACUGAACAUUGAGCCUUGAUGUGUAGGAUAGGUGGGAGGCUUUGAAGCGUGGACGCCAGUCUGCGUGGAGCCAACCUUGAAAUACCACCCUUUAAUGUUUGAUGUUCUAACGUUGGCCCGUAAUCCGGGUUGCGGACAGUGUCUGGUGGGUAGUUUGACUGGGGCGGUCUCCUCCCAAAGAGUAACGGAGGAGCACGAAGGUUAGCUAAUCCUGGUCGGACAUCAGGAGGUUAGUGCAAUGGCAUAAGCUAGCUUGACUGCGAGCGUGACGGCGCGAGCAGGUGCGAAAGCAGGUCAUAGUGAUCCGGUGGUUCUGAAUGGAAGGGCCAUCGCUCAACGGAUAAAAGGUACUCCGGGGAUAACAGGCUGAUACCGCCCAAGAGUUCAUAUCGACGGCGGUGUUUGGCACCUCGAUGUCGGCUCAUCACAUCCUGGGGCUGAAGUAGGUCCCAAGGGUAUGGCUGUUCGCCAUUUAAAGUGGUACGCGAGCUGGGUUUAGAACGUCGUGAGACAGUUCGGUCCCUAUCUGCCGUGGGCGCUGGAGAAUUGAGGGGGGCUGCUCCUAGUACGAGAGGACCGGAGUGGACGCAUCACUGGUGUUCGGGUUGUCAUGCCAAUGGCACUGCCCGGUAGCUAAAUGCGGAAGAGAUAAGUGCUGAAAGCAUCUAAGCACGAAACUUGCCCCGAGAUGAGUUCUCCCUGAGACUAUAAGUCUCCUGAAGGAACGUUGAAGACGACGACGUUGAUAGGCCGGGUGUGUAAGCGCAGCGAUGCGUUGAGCUAACCGGUACUAAUGAACCGUGAGGCUUAACCUU